rnacentral:misc_RNA from 1 species
CUUUCAAAGAGGAGCACAGCAACCACCAUUGUACUCUCAAAGUGGGGAAGAGCAGCCAACAUUGUCCUCUCAAAGCGGGGAACGGCAGCCACAAUUGUCAUCUCAAAGGGGGGAACAGCAGCCAUUAGCAUCCCAUAGCAUUGCUGGACAGCAGUCAUCUGAACCUCAUCAAAUGGCAGGCCAGCAGCCUUCUUGGCAUGCUCAAUUAGGAGGACAGCAGCCACCAUUGUCCUCUCAAAUGGGAGAACAGCAGCCGUUAGCAUCCCAUAGCAUUGUAGGACGGCAGUCAUCUGGACUUCAUCAAAUGGCAGGGCAGCAUCCUUCAUGGCAUGCUCAAUUAGGAGGACAGCAGCCACCAUUGUCCUCUCAAAUGGGAGAACAGCAGCCGUUAGCAUCCCAUAGCAUUGUAGGACGGCAGUCAUCUGGACUUCAUCAAAUGGCAGGGCAGCAUCCUUCA